CCUCUGGAUCUGACCCGAAGUCCCGGGACCCGAUGCCAUUCUGAAGGUUUAUUAGGGAAUCCUUCAUCUGCAAGACAAGAGAUUUCCCCACUGUGAUGCAACCCUGGAGCCUGCUGUACAAAAGGCUCUUUAGGCAGUGGAUACUGAAACUCUGUGCUGUGAAGGGCCCAUGCAGAAGGUGUUCCCUUCAUCCACAAAACCUAUGUGUGAAUCCAGAGCUGAGAAUUCUCUCCUCCUCAUGUGACAGAGAGGCUGUGGCACCCUGUGGCAGCCCCUGGACCUGCUGCCCACCAUGAGGGGAGAAGAUGAGUCUGAGGGAGACACCAGUGGAGGUGACACACCUGAGGGACCACAGUGGAGCCAGGGAAUGCUGCAGGGUUGGGAGCAGGGGGUGGGAGGACAGAGGUCCUGGAGCAGGUCCAGAGGAGAGGAACAAGGCUGGGGAAGGGACUGGGGCACAAGUCCUAUGAGGAGAGGCUGAGGGAGCUGGGGCUGUUCAGCCUGGAGAAGAGGAGGCUCAGGGGAGACCUCCUCACUCUCUGCAACUCCCUGACAGGAGGGGGGAGCCAGGUAGGGGCUGAUCUCUUUUCCCAGGCAACCAUCAGCAAGACAAGAGGGCUGGGUCUUCAGCUGUGCCAGGGGAGGUUUAGGUUGGAGAUUAGAAAGAAUUUCUUUCCAGAGAGGGUGAUCAGCCAUUGGAAUGGGCUGCCCAGGGAAGUGGGGGAUUCUCCGUCCCUGGAGGUGUUUAAGGACAGACUGGAUGUGGCAUCAGUGCCAUGGGCUGGGAACCACGGCGGGGUUGGAUCAAGGGUUGGACUUGAUGAUCUCAGAGAUCCCUUCCAACCCAGCUGAUUCCAUGAUUCUAUGAUUCAGGUCCCAGCCCUACCUGGCCGUGGGGUCUCACCUGGUCCAGCAGCAUCACGGAGGAUUUGAUGAUCUCCCGCCACUUCUGCAGCUCCGAGUCGUGGUACUUCUGCUGGGACUCCAAUAACUGGGCCCACUCUGUCUGAGACUGGGGCAACCUGGCAGCAUAACACGGGCAAGAGUCACUCUGUGCAAACUGCAGUGGGUGUAACCAGCUUCUCACUAAGCUUUUCACCCCAAAGGGGCACGUUUUCUUGAGCAAAAGUGCAUUUAAAAUGCUUGGAAUUUCAAUCAGUUGGAUUCCGUGGUUUGCUUUUUCUAGACAUGCUCUGUCAGUCUUUAUUCAUCCCAUGUAAUUUGUUCAGGACUUUCUCUUUAUUUUGAAUUAAAGCUGCACUGGCUCUCU